AUGUGGCUAGUGGUGCAGAGAAGAUGCCUCACGGCGGAUAAUCUGGAGCGGAGGAACUGGCCCUCCAAUGGUUGCUGCCCAUUAUGUACAUCUCACCACGAGGAUUGCACGCAUCUAUUCGUGCAUUGCCGUUUCACGCAGCAGCUAUGGCUAUGUUUCAAAUCAUGGACAGGAGCAGACUUUCAAGAGCCGGCAAAUAGAUUCCACACAACGGAAGAUUGGUGGCUGCAGGCCAGGGCAGCUAUCCCCAAGCACGUAAGGAGGAAUUUCGACACGGUGGUCAUCCUGUUACACUGGAGGAUAUGGAAGGAGAGAAACUCAAGGAUUUUUGAUCAACGAGCCAGUUCCCGUCAGAGGGCUUUGGACCUGUGCAAAGAUGACAUCACAAUGUGGCGGGCGGCCGGCUGCAUCGUCGACCUACCAGACUAG
rnacentral:rRNA from 1 species